rnacentral:rRNA from 1 species
GAUGAACGCUGGCGGCGUGCCUAACACAUGCAAGUCGAGCGAACACACGAGGUGCUUGCUCCUCUGACGUUAUGGGCGCAGGGGUGAGUAACACGUGGAUAACCCAUCUAUAAGACUGGGAUAAGUUUGGGAAACGGUUGCUAAUACCUGAUAAUAAAUUGAACCGCAUGGUUCAAUAGUGAAAAACGGUUUUGCUGUUACCUAUAGGUGGAUCCGCGCCGCAUUAGCUAGUUGGUAAGGUAACGGCUUACCAAGGCAAUGAUGCGUAGCCGACCUGAGAGGGUGAUCGGCCACACUGGAACUGAGACACGGUCCAGACUCCUACGGGAGGCAGCAGUAGGGAAUCUUCCGCAAUGGGCGAAAGCGUGACGGAGCAACGCCGCGUGAGUGAUGAAGGUCUUCGGAUCGGAAAACUCUGUUAUCAGGGAAGAACAAAUGUGUUAGUAACUAUGCACGUCUUGACGGUACCUAAUCAAAAAGCCACGGCUAACUACGUG